GUGCACAGAGAGUUCAGAAAGUGUGCAUUGCCUUCAGAAACUACUGUGAAGAACAAAAUGUUGAAGGGUGUCUGAAAACCUUACAAGAAAUAAAACAGGAGUGUUCCUUGAUGAAAAGCAAGUUUGAAACUCUCUUUAAGAUGGAGCAACAGGUUUUUGCCUGCAGGAGGCUUGGUUAAUAGGUGGUGAUUGACAAGGGAUAGUGAAGUU